rnacentral:tRNA from 1 species
UCCCUGGUGGUCCAGUGGCUAAGACUGUGCACUCCCAAUGCAGGGGGCCUGGGUUCAACCCCUGGUCAGGGAA